AUUGAACGCUGGCGGCAGGCCUAACACAUGCAAGUCGAACGGUAACAGGAAGAAGCUUGCUUCUUUGCUGACGAGUGGCGGACGGGUGAGUAAUGUCUGGGAAACUGCCUGAUGGAGGGGGAUAAUUACUGGAAACGGUAGCUAAUACCGCAUAACGUCGCAAGACCAAAGAGGGGGACCUUCGGGCCUCUUGCCAUCGGAUGUGCCCAGAUGGGAUUAGCUAGUAGGUGGGGUAACGGCUCACCUAGGCGACGAUCCCUAGCUGGUCUGAGAGGAUGACCAGCCACACUGGAACUGAGACACGGUCCAGACUCCUACGGGAGGCAGCAGUGGGGAAUAUUGCACAAUGGGCGCAAGCCUGAUGCAGCCAUGCCGCGUGUAUGAAGAAGGCCUUCGGGUUGUAAAGUACUUUCAGCGGGGAGGAAGGGAGUAAAGUUAAUACCUUUACUCAUUGACGUUACCCGCAGAAGAAGCACCGGCUAACUCCGUG
rnacentral:rRNA from 1 species